GGCGAACUGCAUCAUGGGUGAUUAAUGUGGCGUACUUGCUGAACUCCCUCACUCGAAAACUCAAAACUUAGCAACAGCAAGCGGCAAAAGAACGGGUUUGACAGAACUUACCUUUCCAGAAUCCAUGGCGGUGUCGGGUCAGCACAAGCAGAAAGGGUGAGGGAAGAGUUAAAAUCUUGCUCAGAUUGUUCAUGACAAAAGGAGAUCGUCUCAACCAGCCUCCCCCACUUCUCAUCAUUAUGUCCAUUUGGAAACAUGUCACUCCCGCCCGCUACCUCGACAAAAAAAAAAACAGGCUGUCACACGCCAUUAGCCGUUCGUCUGAGCUCGCCGGACCGUGCGGGCCGAGCCGGGUGAGGAUCACAGGAGCACUGCUGGACCCCCUGCGAUUUGCAUACCGAGCAAACAGGUCUGUGGAUGACGUAGUCAUAAACAGGACCGUACUUCCUCCUAGAACAACUUGAUGGCGUGGGGAACUAACCGAGGAUCCUGUUUGUGGACUUCAGUUCUGUGUUCCACACCAUGAUCAAUGACUCCUCUCCUUCAAGCUUCUGCAGCUCAGCAUCUCGCUUUGCAUUUGCCAAUGAAUUUAUCACUUUCUAAUGGGCAGGACACAGCACGUGAGACUGGGUGACACCACCUCAUACACGUGCACCAUCAGCACUGGAGCACCCCAAGGUUGUGUCCUCUGCCCACCGCUCUUGUUUCUCUACAGAAACAUCUACACUUUAACAGCUGUCAAACUCCUGAAGUUUGCAGAUAACACCACAAUCAUCACCCUCAUCAAAGUUAGGGGUGAGUCUGUAUCAACAGGAAGUGGAGCAUCUAGAGCUUUUGGUUUGGCUGACACAACCUGGAGCUCAACACCCUCAGGACUGUGAAGAUAAUUGUCGACUUCAGGAGACAUCCUUCACCACAGCUGCAGCUCAUCCUGUCCAACAGUCCCUUGUCAACUGUCGAGACCUUCAAGUACCUGGGAAUUCUCACUCUCUUGGGACCUGAAGUGGGAGACUAACAUCAACUCCAUCCUCAAAAACGCCCAGCAGAGGAUGUACUUCCUGUGCGCUUCUGAGGAAGUAGGGCCUGCCACAGGAGACAUUGACGCAGUUCUACGAACCAGUCAUGUGUUCAUCCAGUACAGUUUGCCUUGGUGCUGUAAAAAAAAAAAGGACAAAUUUCAACUGCAAUGAACAAUUAGGACUGCUGGUAAAAUUAUCAGUACCUGCCCUCUACCCAUCCUUGAGCAAAAUCCUCUUAGACCAUCCAUAUCCUGCUCACCCACUCAUGCAGCGCCUUCUCUCAGGCUCAUCUUUGCUCAUGAGGGCGUCCGUGGUGGACGUGUCUGAUGACGACUCGUCCCCUGUGAAUCCGUGACGAACGCCAGAUGAGCCAAGCCUUCAUACUACUGUGCCUUGGCUUCUCAACUGUCCCAGAGCUGCAA